rnacentral:rRNA from 1 species
GAUGAACGCUGGCGGCGUGCCUAAUACAUGCAAGUCGAGCGAACAGACGAGGAGCUUGCUCCUCUGACGUUAGCGGCGGACGGGUGAGUAACACGUGGAUAACCUACCUAUAAGACUGGGAUAACUUCGGGAAACCGGAGCUAAUACCGGAUAACAUGUUGAACCGCAUUGUUCAACAGUGAGAGACGGUCUUGCUGUCACUUAUAGAUGGAUCCGCGCCGCAUUAGCUAGUUGGUAAGGUAACGGCUUACCAAGGCAACGAUGCGUAGCCGACCUGAGAGGGUGAUCGGCCACACUGGAACUGAGACGCGGUCAAGACGCCUACGGGAGGCAGCAGUAGGGAAUCUGCCGCAAUGGGCGAAAGCCUGACGGAGCAACGCCGCGUGAGUGAUGAAGGUCUUCGGAUCGUAAAACUCUGUUAUUAGGGAAGAACAAAUGUGUAAGUAACUAUGCACGUCUUGACGGUACCUAAUCAGAAAGCCACGGCUAACUACGUG